rnacentral:rRNA from 1 species
UCGAGAAUCUUCCGCAAUGGACGAAAGUCUGACGGAGCGACGCCGCGUGAUUGAUGACGCCCUUAGGGGUGUAAAGAUCUUUUAUAUGGGAAGAAGUUUAUUGACGGUACCAUAUGAAUAAGGGGCUCCUAAACUCGUGCCAGCAGGAGCGGUAAUACGAGUGCCCCAAGCGUUACCCGGAUUCACUGGGCGUAAAGGGUGCGUAGGUGGCCUAGUUAGUCGAUUGUUAAAGCACCGGGCUCAACCCGGG